GAUGAACGCUGGCGGCGUUGCUUAAUACAUGCAAGUCGAACGGAGACUGUAGCAAUACUGUCUUAGUGGCGAACGGGUGAGUAACGCGUUGGUGACCUGCCCCGAAGAGGGGGAUAACAGUCCGAAAGGAUUUGCUAAUACCCCAUGUGGUCGUUUGGAUUAGAUGCCUUACGACUAAACGGAUUUAUUCGCUUCGGGAGGGGCCUGCGUCCCAUCAGCUAGUUGGUAGGGUAAUAGCCUACCAAGGCGAUGACGGGUAGGGGACCUGAGAGGGUGGCCCCCCACAAUGGAACUGAAACACGGUCCAUACACCUACGGGUGGCAGCAGUAGGGAAUAUUGGUAAUCUGGGAAACCGGGAACCAGCAACGCCGCGUGCGCGAUGAAGGCCUUCGGGUUGUAAAGCGCUUUUUAAAGGGAUGAGGAAGGACAGUACCUUUAGAAUAAGCCUCGGCUAACUACGUG
rnacentral:rRNA from 1 species